rnacentral:rRNA from 13 species
ACGACCAUAGGGUGUGGAGAACAGGGCUUCCCGUCCGCUCAGCCGUAGUUAAGCCACACGCCGGCCGGUUAGUAGUUGGGUGGGUGACCACCAGCGAAUCCCGGCUGUUGUAUGUU